GAUGAACGCUGGCGGCGUGCCUAAUACAUGCAAGUCGAGCGAACAGACGAGGAGCUUGCUCCUCUGACGUUAGCGGCGGACGGGUGAGUAACACGUGGAUAACCUACCUAUAAGACUGGGAUAACUUCGGGAAACCGGAGCUAAUACCGGAUAAUAUAUUGAACCGCAUGGUUCAAUAGUGAAAGACGGUUUUGCUGUCACUUAUAGAUGGAUCCGCGCCGCAUUAGCUAGUUGGUAAGGUAACGGCUUACCAAGGCAACGAUGCGUAGCCGACCUGAGAGGGUAACCGGCAAAACUGGACAGAAGCACGGUCCCAGACUCCUAGGGGAGGAAGAAGGAGGGAAUCUUCAGCAAUGGGCGAAAGCUUGACGGAGCAACGCCGCGUGAGUGAUGAAGGUCUUCGGAUCGUAAACCUCUGUUAUUAGAGAAGAACAAAUGUGUAAGUAACUAUGCACGUCUUGACGGGACCUAAUCAGAAAGCCACGGCUAACUACGU
rnacentral:rRNA from 1 species